GAUGAACGCUGGCGGCGUGCUUAACACAUGCAAGUCGAACGGAAAGGCCAGUGUUUGCACUGGUGCUCGAGUGGCGAACGGGUGAGUAACACGUGGGUGAUCUGCCCUGCACUUUGGGAUAAGCCUGGGAAACUGGGUCUAAUACCAGAUAGGACCAUGCUUUGGAUGGUGUGGUGGAAAGUUUUUUCGGUGUGGGAUGAGCUUGCGGCCUAUCAGCUUGUUGGUGGGGUAAUGGCCUACCAAGGCGUCGACGGGUAGCCGGCCUGAGAGGGUGUACGGCCACAUUGGGACUGAGAUACGGCCCAGACUCCUACGGGAGGCAGCGGUGGGGAAUAUUGCACAAUGGGCGCAAGCCUGAUGCAGCGACGCCGCGUGGGGGAUGACGGCCUUCGGGUUGUAAACUCCUUUCGCAACUGACGAAGCUUUUUGUGACGGUAGGUGGAGAAGAAGCACCGGCUAACUACGUG
rnacentral:rRNA from 1 species